rnacentral:lncRNA from 1 species
UGCUCUGCUGUUACGGUGGAGUUUUGUUACUGUCAAUUGAAGAGCAGGGUUUUUUGCAUUUUGGGAAUGAAAUUAACUUAAUUUCUAAGGAUAAAAUGGUAAAAUAAUAAAUAAAAGUAAGGCUAUUUUGGUCUGUUAUAAUGUCAACUGCACUGAAAGCCUCUAACUGCUGCUAUUUGCUCCAGCUGAAAAUCAGCUGAUCAGUGUGGUUGAAAAGCAACCUCACUGCACUGACAGCCUCAACCAAACACAAAUGCAGUGAGUUUGGCACCACCUUUUCCUUUCAAACGUGCCUCACUGCCGUUUUACUUCAAUCCAAAGGAGCACUUAGUCCCAG